UUCUUCAGUGAAUGAUCUCAGGCGCUUUCUCCAACGGGUCCUAAACCCCACAAUCUGGUACCGUGCUGCUGGACCUAGGAAACCUUAAGGGACAAGAAAAUAAUCAAAACAAUGAAUGUUUAGGGGGUAGUUUUUCUGCUAGCGCUCCGCCUUUAAAGAAACACACUAAACACAUCUCCAGUACAGAAAUUGCAAGUGGAUAAAAUCUGGAUAAAGUCUGAUUUGGAAGUCUGUAGUUUACUACCGGGAGCUCAAAGUGAACUUGAUAUGGUUUUCUCCUCCGAGUGCUAGCUCAAUUUUCACAUCCGGGGCCUCAGAGGAGUCACUGUAUGGUCGUCAUAGCAGCAGGCCUACAGGGUCGUCAUAGCAGCCGGCCUACAGGGUCGUCAUAGCAGCAGACCUACAGGGUGGUGGACAUCUACAGACACCUGCCAUGGUGCCACCAUGAUCCUCUGACCCAGCCCUCUUCUCCAUCGCCUCGCUGCCUCCCUAACGCUACCCGAGCACCAGGGCAACAGAUGGCGUUCUCCAGCACCCCCGCUGAGGAGCACUGAGGUCUUCUCAUCCCACCUCUUCAUCCUCCUCUUCCUCCUCACCAGUCCAGACAAGCAGCAGAACAAUGAGCUCACGUAGUCGCCCAGGUGGGCUGGG